rfam:Triticum aestivum genome assembly, contig: Triticum_aestivum_CS42_TGACv1_scaffold_092992_2AL
AAAAUACUUCCUUCGUCCGAAAAUACUUGUCAUCAAAAUAAAUAAAAGAAAAUGCAUCUAAAUGUAUUUUAGUUCUAGAUACAUCCUUUUUUUGUCCAUUUUGAUGACAAGUAUUUUUGAACGGAGGGAGUAAAAA